rnacentral:rRNA from 1 species
CAGUAGCCGCGGUAAUACGUAGGAGGCAAGCGUUGUCCGGAAUUAUUGGGCGUAAAGGGCUCGCAGGCGGUUUCUUAAGUCUGAUGUGAAAGCCCCCGGCUCAACCGGGGAGGGUCAUUGGAAACUGGGAAACUUGAGUGCAGAAGAGGAGAGUGGAAUUCCACGUGUAGCGGUGAAAUGCGUAGAGAUGUGGAGGAACACCAGUGGCGAAGGCGACUCUCUGGUCUGUAACUGACGCUGAGGAGCGAAAGCGUGGGGAGCGAACAGGAUUAGAUACCCCCGUAGUCCCUGUCUCUUAUAC